AGGGAGGAUGUUAAAGUUAACAUUCCUGCCUGAUGCCAUCUUCCUAGAUUGAAUCUGUCAUUUUUGCGCUCGCUGAACGUUUAGACUGUUCUCAAAAUGGUUCAUGUAAUGUU
rfam:Setaria italica strain Yugu1 chromosome I, whole genome shotgun sequence.